rnacentral:rRNA from 1 species
GUUUAUGGUCAUGCCACCCUGAACAAGCCCGAUGUCUGAUCUCAGAAGCUAAGCAGGGUCGAGCAGCUUAGUACUUGGAUGGGAGACCACCUAGGAAGACCAGGUGCUGUAGGCA